ACCCCCUCCAGCCUCGCUGGGAGAUGGGCGCCGGGGACCGCCGUCCCCGCGCCUCGAAUCGGAAGGCCGAGCGUGUUCGCCGGAGCGUCGUGAUACGACCGCCGCCACCGGUGCUCGCGCGCGAGCCUGAGAACCCACAUCAAU
rnacentral:misc_RNA from 1 species